GAAAGUAAUGGUUAUUUGGCUUGCUGGGUAUUGAUAGGCUGACAAAAAACUGCAUGUUUCACCAACCCCAAGCUGAUAACCAUGCACAGUAAAGUGUUGAGACUCCCUCCUGCUAUAAUACAGAAGCCACAUGCACCAGACUGCCCUUGGUGAAAGCCAAACCAAAAAAAGCUCAAUUUCAGUGCAACAUCGUGUUCAGGCAUGGUGAGAGAAGUAGGUGGUUCCCCUCAAGAAGAUUGAUGGAGUUGACAUACUCCCACCCCCUCACAGGACAACUUAAAGCUUGCAACGCUGUAGCCAAAGAUUGCAGUGGUGAGGACUAGAAGCUACAGUAAGACAAUUUCCGCACACCCUUGGUUGCACUACUCGUCAUUCAUGUGCCCUUCCAGUGUACUAGGAUGGAUCCAUGUAGGUCUGCAAUUAAAGUAUACCCAGGGUUAUGAAUAUACCAUGGUUCUCCUUGAUUAUGCCACCCUCAAUCCAGAACUAAUUCCUCUCCGGAAGCAACUUCUAAAAAUACUGCAAAGGACCAGAGCCUGAAGGGGAUGCUGUCAAAGGUGAUGGCAUUCGUUUCCUAGACCUCCUUAGAUGAGGGUAACCUCAAGAGCACAGGAAUGAUGGUGACAGCCUUGAUGCCUGAGGGAACAGUUGUCCAAGACAGAUGUUAAAGAUACCCAUGAGGACAUCAGUCAUUUUGGCCUUACAUUUCUUUAGCUAAACCUGAAAGCUAAGCUACUACUAAGUAGGGACAUCUGCAAUUAGCCAAAGCCUCUAAAUUGGUGAAGCAUUACUGAGAUUGCGAGUAGAGGUUAAGGCUCAGGCCUGGUAACAGGAAGGUUACUGGUUUGAGUCCUAUUAGAAGUGCGCCAUGAGUCAUCACAAUUGUGCCCUUGAACAAGACACUUAACCCCAAGUUGCUCCAG